GAGAGGCGCCCCCCGGCCCGCUCCCGCCCGCGCUGCCUUUCCCCGGCCUGCCGAUCUGGCCCGGAGAGGUACUGCCCUUGAGAGGUAGCGAGUGCCCCUUGGACAUGAAGGAUGUCCUGAAUUUCCACCGUCUUCAGUAAGAGGAGAGAAUAUUCAGCACCAGCUGAAAGUCCCUUCUGAAUUUCACUUUGGGAUGAAAUAGCUGCCUUGCAUGCUAUCGGAGUCUCCAC
rnacentral:lncRNA from 1 species